ensembl:lncRNA
CUAGAAUACAAUUCUAUUAUAUAUUGAAAAUACACAAAUUCCUCACAGAGAUCAGUUUUCAGUCUAGAAAAACCUUAACCCGUUUGCUAUUUUGCCUCUCAUUUAGAUACUGCAUCAAAAUACAAUCAAAAUUCCUACUCAAUCCAUGAGACUAAGGGUGGCCUUGCCUUUUACCUUUAGAUGUUGAUGAUAGAUUUUUACAUAUAUUAAAUAGUGGAUUGAGGUUUGCUAAGCAGUCUUUCAGAUCCAAAAUAGCAGAAGUUGUGCAGAGCUUCAGAAUGCAUGUAAAAAGCUUGCAGAAAGACCUGGAUUAUUUCUAAAUCGAAACAAAUUGUCUGGCACACUCUAAGCAUGAGAUCCCAUCACACCUGUUUUAAUGGUUGCUUUGGGAAGAAAAGCAAUGGGUGUAUUGACAGAUGAGGCUUUCUUAUGCAGGGAUGCAGGAUGAGCUAACUGUGAACUUGCCAUAGCAAAAGGCAAUGUGACAAAGCACUGUCUUAUCUUGAUUCUUCCGUAAGUAUUGUAUCCCACCGUAUCAUUUUCAUGUAGGAUCAUGAGGAGAUACAAAAAGCAGAAGCUGCCAUGAACACAGAUAAAUGUCCACUAAGGACAGGGCAUGACUGAGAUCCAACACAAUGUAAGCUUAACUCACAAAGAAGCUCCCCACGUUAUGCAACUUGAUGCGUGACUUAUUGCAGGGAAGUCACGGAACAGGAACAAAAGCACAGUUAAUGCGUAACAACUGCCAUCGAUGGCAUGAAUUACGUGCCCACCCCACCGCGCAGGUUUAAGGCGAGUACGAGGAGCCGACUGCUGGAGGUUAUGUGUCCCAGAGGCCGAGACCGGGAGGAGAGCCUCGAGGCUUCCCGCGGGACUCGCAGAGAACAGGGUGCAUAGAGUGUCCGCGCGGUGCAACCUGCGAGAGAACGUCCAGAGGUUGGGGGGAGGGAAGGAUUUGGGGACCGGACACGGGCACCCGCCGGGAAAGCGGCGGGCCGGCUAGAGAAGAAUCCCAUCCCGAUCGGCCGCGCAACGCCCCGUCGGCUGCCGCUCUCCUACCUCGGCCCUCGGUCCCGUGCAAAGAAACGGAGUCCCGGCGGGGCACGACCCCGGCAGGGCCGGCACACAGGAGAGGAGACGCGCGGUGCCACCUCCCGCAGCCCCGCGCCCGCCGGGACAACCGCACCGCCCAUCGCGCCCGUAACGCUGGGGGGAAAAGCUCAGCGCAGCCCUCGCUGUUCUCUUUUGGUGUUUACAACAGAAAACGUAAAGCAGCAACGAAGUGGUUUACUGAACGUCCUUUGGAGUAGUGCCAUUAUUAACCCCACGUGCGCACGUUACGCCUCAACAAGGACACACGCGACGAGCCGCCCUGCGGCAUCGUUUCUCACCUGGGCGCCUGAAAACAGAGCGCGGCUCGAGCUCGGGCGGUUCCGUCCCGAAUGCACCUCGGCACGAAUGCGGCGGCUUCGGGCUGAACACCCGGAGGACAUCCGAGAACGGACACAGCCAGAGCCGAGCGCCGCGCCCGUCGGAACCGUUCCGCUCGCGGUCGCUGCGAACACUUCGACAAACAUUAAUUCCCCACUCGUUCCUUAAUUAGCGAUGCAUCAAAACGCGGGAGGAGGUACUUGUAAGGCAAAGAACGCGCUACGAACCUGCUUCCAUUAUUAUUUUCGGUCGCAGUCUCAGCUCCUGAAGCCUUCUUUCCCGGACGCUGCGCGCAGUUCGCUCCGGAGCGGCUCCGGGGCGGUGUCAGCGGCGCGGCCGUUCCGCUCAG